rnacentral:rRNA from 1 species
UACAGAGGUCCCAAGCGUUGUUCGGAUUCACUGGGCGUAAAGGGCGCGUAGGCGGCUCAUGAAGGCUGUGGUGAAAGUCCGGGGCUCAACCUCGGAUCGGCCGUGGCGACUCGUGGGCUGGAGCACUGUAGAGUCGGGUGGAAUUCCGGGUGUAGCGGUGGAAUGCGUAGAGAUCCGGAAGAACACCAGUGGCGAAGGCGGCCCGCUGGGCAGUGGCUGACGCUGAGGCGCGACAGCGUGGGGAGCAAACAGG